GACGAACGCUGGCGGCGUGCUUAACACAUGCAAGUCGAACGGAAAGGCCCUGCUUUUGUGGGGUGCUCGAGUGGCGAACGGGUGAGUAACACGUGAGUAACCUGCCCUUGACUUUUGGAUAACUUCAGGAAACUUGGGCUAAUACCGGAUAGGAGCUCCUGCUGCAUGGUGGGGUUUGGAAAGUUUCGGCGGUUGGGGAUGGGCUCGCGGCUUAUCAGCUUGUUGGUGGGGUAGUGGCUUACCAAGGCUUUGACGGGUAGCCGGCCUGAGAGGGUGACCGGCCACAUUGCGACUGAGAUACGGCCCAGACUCCUACGGGAGGCAGCAGUAGGGAAUGUUGCACGAUGGGCGGAAGCCUGAUGCAGCAACGCCGCGUGCGGGAUGACGGACUUCGGGUUGUAAACCGCUUUCGCCUGUGACGAAGCGUGAGUGACGGUAAUGGGUAAAGAAGCACCGGCUAACUACGUG
rnacentral:rRNA from 1 species